UGGUUGUUUCGUGGUAGGAUUAAUAGUAUGCACACUCUUUUACCAGACUUGUCUCACCAGCUAUCCUAUCUAGCUAGAGGUUUUCUGUGCGCUAUUUACGUUGCUUGUCUCACCUACAUUGACACUGUUACCAUGAUGGACAACAAUUUAUUUUGUUUUUGUUCUUUACUAAUUUUCUUGAUUUUUUUUAUCUUUAUUUAUAUUUUUAUAAAAUUUGACGAAAUUAUGAUUUUGUUAUGAUUAAAACAGAUACAUGUUAUCAAGACCAAAUGUAUGAAAACAUGUGGCUUUUGGUUUCAUUGGCGACAUUCCUUAACGGUGGAUGUUGGUUCACAUAUACCGUUUGGAGAUUCGAUAUAUUAGCAUGAUAUAUCAUUUAUUUUAUAAUAUUUUUAUUUUUAUUUUGUAGAACUUUAUAUAUAUAUAUAUAUUAUAAUGUAAAUUUACUUAUUUAACCCUUUUACAAUAUAUUGCAAACGGAUUCGGACAUUAUCGAGAGCAACAUAAUUAGUCAUGUUUGUUUACUACUACUACAAU
rnacentral:lncRNA from 1 species